GUCAAAACGACUCUCGGCAACGGAUAUCUAGGCUCUCGCAUCGAUGAAGAACGUAGCAAAAUGCGAUACUUGGUGUGAAUUGCAGAAUCCCGUGAACCAUCGAGUCUUUGAACGCAAGUUGCGCCCGAAGCCUUCGGGCCGAGGGCACGCCUGCCUGGGCGUCACGCAUCGCGUCGC
rnacentral:rRNA from 1 species